CCGAUCCACCCUCAUAUCUACCGGAGACUGCGCAGGCGACUAGAGCAAGAACAGCAACACCGCCAUUCGCCGCCGCCACAGCUAGCACCUCCCGGCGCCGCAGUUCACCGUCGCCCCAGCACCUCCCGGCGCCGCCAUCCACCGCUUCCCCAGCACCUCCCGUCGCCGCAGUCCUCCGCUGCCCCAGCACCUCCCGACGCCGCAGAUACUUCUGCCGGCGAGAAGCACCUCCGCCCUUCCGUCCCAGCAACUCCCGUCCCAACUAGCUUGAACACCUUCAAGAUGCUUUUCUGGGGAUUGAUUUUUCUGUUUGCUGUUGGGUUUGUAGCCCUGAGCCAAAUGUAUUAGGCUGUUGUGUGUCUUUGAUAGUGCUAUGAUAUUGGGGUUAGUCUUAGUCAUUUUAAUUGUUAACCCAUUUGCGACCGGACAUGCUAAUUUUCAAGAUGCUUAAGUGUCUAGAUCUAUAUGUUACUGUCAAAAUAUGGUCAUGUGUUACCAGGUGAAUCCUUCUUUUGUAGGCUUAAUGAAGAAAUUUUCGCCCUGGGAACAAUUUCUGUCCUUGCAAACCAGAUUAUACAAAUCUCAAAUAAUUUCUGCGGAGAUAUCAAAUGAAAAUGUUGCCAUGGAGAUACAUUGUAGUCUUACUGUAGAUUAUUCUAAAAUUUACAUUUUGGAUUCAUGGAAAUCUAGUAGAUUUUUCUAUCCCUUGGUACUGUCAAAAGCUUGCACCUGUGUUGCCAGGUGCAUCCUUCUUUGUGGGCUUUUAUGAACAAUUUUGUGUAUGAACUUUGUCAAUUGGCUUGCAGCAUCUACAUCAGAUGAACUAGGUAGGUAUUUUACUGACAACUAGACUUCAUCAAAACCUUUGUCUCUAAGGUUUUCUAAUGUGAUUUGCAUUGAACUUAUACUGACGUGAUUAUUUGGAUCUGUGACAAGCAAUGGAUCAUGCAUGCAGUGCCUAGGUAUGUUGAAGUGUCGGGCACCGACCUGAAGAACAUGUUGUGCGACAGGGCUACUCUUAGCUACAGCUUGUUUGAUGUUGCAAUACGACGACUGAACCAACUGGACAAAUUGAUGCAUGCUUUGAAGCAUUUGAUACACUAGCGCCAUAUCUUGGAGUCAGACUUUGCGAUGUUGGUUUUUGCCGGAGAGAAGGUGACAUCAAAUUCUUCAGUUAGGAAACAAUUCAUCGGAGAGGUGGUGUUGCAUAAAAUAGAAACUUGCAGGAUGAUCACAAUCCAUGUCUUGGUUAGGGAAACAUGGUGCGCUUAUUUCUGUGACAUGAAACUGAAGACGGUACAUGUCAUUGACUCAAUGUACAAUCAUGAAGAACAUGGACGUUUCGACGAAAUUCACAGUCUAAGCGUCUGUAGUUUGAAGAUAGCUUUAUUAGAGUGUUUCAAUGAAUUCUUUGAAGGCAGGAAACCAAACAUAGCAAACUUUGGGACAUCAUACAUCAAGCCGCUAGUGCAUAAUGCUGACAAGUAAG